UCCCGGAUCGUCUAAUGGCAGGACAGCACUCUUUGGAGGUGCUUAUCGUGGUUCGAAUCCACGUCCGGGAG
rnacentral:tRNA from 2 species